AUUGUUUGUGGAAAUUAUUGGAUUCAGGUGUCUUUGUCACAUUGAUAUCCAUGUUUUACAUUGCUUCACUGUGAAUCAAAAGCAUUAUUGAUGUAAGACUGUAAUGUGUGCUGUCCUCACGCUUUUGCAAAAGUCUGAGACAUGUUUUUUGUCCCAUCAAUCCAAUCUGGCAAAUUUUCUCUAAUCUGGCAAUUAACUUUGCAGACACUUUUCUAUCAUCCUUCAUAUAAUUGGCAUGUUUAUUUCUUGAAAUGUACUUUAAUAAUACCCCCAUAGAAAGAAGGAAGGCCUGAAGCCUAGAAUCAAAAUUAAAUGAAUUUUGUUGUUUACUGUAUCAUCAUGUCAUUGCAUGUAAACUGAUAUCUGACAUGUAAACUGAUGGUAUCUGACAUGACCUCUUUUUCUAUAGUUGUCAUGUAGUCACAUAUUUUAUUUUUAUCCAAUUCAUUGAGGGUGGCGGGGUUGGAACUGUUUGCUGGAGGUAAAAUCUUUGCCAUCACAUGGGUUUUAACAGACUACUCAGACUGAUCCAUUCUUUUGACACUAUUCAGACGCUUCACAGUGUGAUACACCUACGCAUAAAACCUCAACCCUAGAACAAAAUCUAGUUACAAAGAAGUCCUCUGACAAGUCUCCAAACAGUGAAAGUGUCCUGCAUGUUAGGAAGGAACCAGUGUUC